GCUCAGGAGAGAUGACACCGACGUCGGACGGACCGGUCGAUCCGCGCCGUGUCUGUCCGUCCGAAGUGGGUGUCAUCUCGCCUGAAGCA
ncrna:Sorghum bicolor miR1432 stem-loop (sbi-MIR1432)